rnacentral:lncRNA from 1 species
GAAAAAUCAAAUUGGAUUGGCUAAACCAGAUUAAAGGUGAAACUAAUUAAGCAGGAGAUUUGAUAUUAUGUACGAUGGUAUUUUAUUUAAAAGAAAAAUUGUCUAUAAUUUUGGACUAAAAGUUACCGAUAAAUAUUUCUCUCAAAAAUAAAAAGUUACCGAUAAAUAUGUAAAAGGUAAAUUGCACGUUUGUUUCUCAAACUAUGAGACUUGUGAUACUUUGAUUUCAAACUUUAAUUUAUUAUGAUUUUUAACGCGAACUUUCAGAAUUAUAUAUUGUCAUUAAGUGCCACAGCCUAAUUUAGGUAACUAAAUAUUAAUAUAUUGCUAAUAUAGAGGUGAUAUAACAGUACUGCAUGCGUUUAAUAAUACCUUAAUAAUUAAGAUGUCAUGUUACUUUAUAUCAAUAAUACGUUAAAAUUUAAUCAAUUAAAUUAGAUUGUAGAAUUUGAAUAUUGUAAUAAUUUUAAAAUUUCACGCUAUAAAUUACAAUAAAUUAAAGUUGGAGGCUAAAAUGUCAUCCGACUCUCAGGUAGCGUUUGGAUCAGGGAUAAGGGGAGGGAUAACCCCUUAUCCCCCCUUUAUCCAAACGCAAAUUUUUUACCCGAGAAUAGUAAUUUUCGGGUAUCCAAAAUAAGCUGGUAUAAUUAUUCCCACCAACACCUCAAUUUUCUAUAUAUAACUAUCUACUAUUUUUCUUAUUCCAUAUUAUCUAUCCAAAAGUUAUUUUUCUUAUCCCCUGAAACAACCCAAUUUUUAUCCAAAUACUAUUUUUUUUAUCUCCAUAUUUGUAUCUAUUCCUGUAAUAACUAGUUUUUUUUUAUAUCCGAACCAAACGAAGUCAUAGUUUGAUUACACUAUGAUA